UCUUCAGACCAAAACAUUCAAUUAUUUUGUUUUGUUUGUUGUUUACCUUAAAAUAUCGUUAAAAAAAUGUUGCAUACCCAGGCAAUUCACUCAGUGCCCACACUGCAUCAACCUCUGCACUCCAAGGUAUCGAAUUACCUGAACAACCAGCGCAGAACGGGACAAUUCUGCGAUCUGCUCCUCGAGCUAGACUCGGACGAUGCCCUGAGUUUGAGUCUAAGUGUUCACUUUUGCGUUUUGGCCGCCCAGAGUCAGUUGAUAAACACCAACCAGAAGCAGCAGCAGUUUUCCAUUCACAACCCCCUGAAGAUCACCAUCCGCAACUUUAGCUGCUCACAAUGCCUGCACACUAUAGUGGAUUUUUUCUACGAGGACAUUGUUUCCGUGUCCAAGGAGCACGAGCCUCACUUCCGGGAACUGGCACAAAUACUGGCCGUGACCGAACUGCUCAAUCUCUACCAGAUGCAGCCAUUGGGAGAGGUAAAGGAAGCGUCAGAGAUUAUAGCUCUCGGAGAUGAUGAACUGAGUUUGGAGAAUCCGGUGAAGAAAUCCGAGGACGUGUUUGAGAACCAGCAGAGCUACUUUAAGUUAAAGAAUCCCAGAGCCGUAAAGUCCAGCAGCAAGGUGAACUACUGCAUUGGCUGCGACUUCAAGUGCUACCCGGUACAGAAAAUGAUCGAGCAUAUGGGAAGCUGUGAGCCCUCCCACCUCACCUGCUCCCUGUGCGAGGUGGGAUUUCUGCACUGGCGCGAAUACGACCGACAUCUUCGCAGGCAUUCCGGCGACUUGCGCAAGCCCUUCUUCUGCCUGCAGUGCGGAAUUCGGUUCACCACUCGGGCAGCCCUGCUCGUCCAUCAGCCCAAGCACUCUACGGAAACGCCGCACAUCUGUCCGCAUUGCGGCAAGGGCUUCAAGUGGAAACAGGGCCUAAGCAAUCACAUUCUGGUGCACAAUCCCGAGAAACAAAUGCUGUGUGACGUCUGCGGCUAUAGCACCACCCACAUGAAGGCCCUCAAGUCCCACAAACUGCUCCACACCGGCGAGUUCUUUGCCUGCACUUUUCCGGGAUGUAAGCAUCGCGCCAAUCGCAAGGAGAACCUCAAGCUGCACAUCGAGACGCACAAGCAGGGACGGGACUUUAUCUGCGAAAUCUGCGGCUGCAAGUUCAGUCAGAGCAAGAAUCUCAAGCGCCAUGCCCUAAAGCACACUGAAAAUGGUCCAAAUCGUUACAAGUGCCAGCUAUGUGGAUUCAGUAGUCAUCGUUCUGACAAAAUGAAGGAGCACGUGCAGCGGGUGCAUACGGAAAAGGCUGUACAAUUGGAGCUCUCGGAGACGGUGGACAGUUCCUUUCCCGACGACUUUGACCUGCCCAUCAUCGAGACUCUGCCAUCGCCUAAAAAGAAACAGCCCAAGGAAGUCGUCAAGGCGAAGCUGAAAAGAGAAACAAAUGCCGAAAGGCGCCUGAAAAUUUUACUGCCCAAGGAGACUGUCAAAUGAAGCUAAUGAUCUGUUUAAUUCUUAUCUGACAAUGAACUUGUCAUAUAUCAUAUGAUCUCUGCAGAAUGAUCGACUUAAGAGAAAAGAAAAUUAUACCUUGAGAUCGCAGGAUGCAAUGAAGCAAAGUGAUUUGAUUGUAAUCAUUAUUGCAAACUAUUUAGUAAGAAGGAUUUGAAUUACACACCUUUUUGUACAGUUUAAACAUCUACUAGUUUAGGUUCUAGAAAAACAUUUCAGAAGUAAUUAAAUUGCUAACAAUGUAUUGUAAACAACAUUGUCAUAAAUUGUGGAAGGUUAUUUCUAGAAUCAACAAUGUUGGGGCAGUAGUUCUCUUUUAUCUAAUCUAUUUUGGGUAUGUGAUAAGAAGCUAUUGCGUUGUUUCCAGAUGGAGCGACGGAGCCCAUGACUAACCCGAGCGGGAGGUCCAACCUUAUCAGCACCUGAGUGCUACGUAACCAAAGUGUUUCUAUUAAAAACAAUUAAACCAAAACAAACGGAAAGCUCUGUGGUGAGAUAGUGCAUAAUUCUGAAAUAAACAUAAGCUAUACGGGAACUGAGAGGGAGGAACUGGGUCAGACCGAUCGAUCAGGUUCUAACGCACCUCCAAGCGCGGCGAUGUGUCGCCCCUCACGUCGCCCCGGCCGCCGAUAAAUAAGUUAUUUCUGGUUUCAGUUAUUGGGCCUAAAUCCACUAUAAUCGUUGUCGUUACCCCCAGUCUGGCAACUCUGUCGGAGAAAGCUUUUCGCGCCCCCAAGAAAGCUCACCAGGGUAUAAAAACCCCCAGCUCGUUCGAAAAAACUUCAAUUCCGUUCGCUCAGCGAAAAGUGGAAAAAUCAGCGACUCACCUGGGAAAUUCUCGUUUAGCCUGCGAUUUUGCAGAGACCAAGAAGAAGAAGCAGAAGGAAG